AUUGAACGCUGGCGGCAGGCCUAACACAUGCAAGUCGAACGGUAACAGGAAACAGCUUGCUGUUUCGCUGACGAGUGGCGGGCGGGUGAGUAAUGUCUGGGAAACUGCCUGAUGGAGGGGGAUAACUACUGGAAACGGUAGCUAAUACCGCAUAACGUCGCAAGACCAAAGAGGGGGACCUUCGGGCCUCUUGCCAUCGGAUGUGCCCAGAUGGGAUUAGCUAGUAGGUGGGGUAACGGCUCACCUAGGCGACGAUCCCUAGCUGGUCUGAGAGGAGGACCAGCCACCCUGGAACUGAGACACGGUCCAGACUCCUACGGGGGGCAGCAGUGGGGAAUAUUGCACAAUGGGCGCAAGCCUGAUGCAGCCAUGCCGCGUGUAUGAAGAAGGCCUUCGGGUUGUAAAGUACUUUCAGCGGGGAGGAAGGGAGUAAAGUUAAUACCUUUGCUCAUUGACGUUACCCGCAGAAGAAGCACCGGCUAACUCCGUGCCAGCCGCCGCCGUAA
rnacentral:rRNA from 1 species